GAGAGCAGUUGAGGAUUGUGGAGUGGGGAACAAGGGGAGGCGGCCUUUACUGGGCGGGGAAAGUGUCCCAAACACCGGUCUGUGGCCCUGGGAUCCUGCCAGUCGUCCACAGAGCCCCCUCCUGUCGGGAGGAGAGAAUGGCAUGACCAUAAUUCUCUAUAAAGCAAUAUGUGCCCAACAGACAGAAGAGAGUGACAGCAGGAUAUACUGACCCCAAAUGACCAUUCUGAGUUCUAGUAAGGAAUUGAACUUUGAUAUCUCAGCACAGGCGUAAUCUUGCACACGAGGAAGUUGCAACAGGGAGAAGAGCUCUGGUUGGAUCAAUGACUUGUGGGCUCACAGGGAGAAAGCUGGAGAAACAGAUUCUGUUUAAAACCCGACCAUUCGUUAUUCUGUGUGUUUUGGGUAUGGGGCUACUGACGGGAAGUAGCAAUAGAAUGAAGAAGAAAGCACAUCUUCUCAGAUUUUCUUCAUUAUUUCCAACAAGACUCAACAGGAUCAACAACGAAGGCUCUCUCUGAUUCUUGCCUCAAUUUCAUGUCUCUAAGAGCUGUGAUCUGCGUAGGAAUGAAGUGUGGUGACAUCUGCAGCUGGAAUCGUGAGCGCUUCUGGGUGCUGUGCUCCAGAGAUAAACUAAAGCUGAGCAAAAAUACUAUGACUUAAUAAUAUGAUCCUUAUGAGAACAAAAUAUUGUGUACAUCCCCAGAUGAUUAAAACUAACAUUUAUACUGUGCUUUCCAAGCCACUACAGUGGUUAUAAAUAGUUUCUCUACAAACUAUUUAUAGAGAAAUCACAUCAACCACCCACCACUUGUUAAAAUGGAGCAAGUAUUUUCACACAAAGGCAACUUUACAAAACAGCAGGGGAAUUGGUAAUGGAAGGAACAGAUAGGCUGGAAAUGACAGGCGGGAGACUUAACUGAUUUCUUCCUUUUCUAUUUUUAACCUUUAAUGUGUAAUAUAUAUUCAGAGAAAUGCACAUAAGUGUCAGCCAGCUGAAGUUUCACUAACUUAACAUACUUGCGUAGCUGGCAGCAGAUCAGGAAGUGGAAUAUUACAAACCCCCGAGUCUUCAGGUCACUGUCCUUCCAAGGUUACCUGGCGUCUUGUCUGCUAGCUGCACAGAUUAGUUUAGUUUGUUCCUAGCUUUUAUAGAAAUCGAAUGCUACCGCAUGUUUUUUUGUGGCUGGUUUCUUAGAUUUAAUUUUACGUUUGUGAGACUCAUCCAUGCUGUUUGUUCAUUCUGCUACACAGUGUCAAGUUGUGCAACCAUAACACAAUUUAUCGAUCCAUUCCAGUGUUGAUGGGCCUUUUGGUAGUUUUUGCUUUUUGACCACCACAAAUUGUGCUUCUUAUGAACAUCCUUGAUCAUAUCUUUUGGGCAUAUGUUUAGGAGUGAAAUUGCUGUCAUAGAAUAAGCACAUUUCCAUGUUAAUAGGUUCUGCCAGAUAGUUUUCCAAAUGGUUGUGCUAAUUUACACUCUCAACAGUAGUGGAGGAGAAUCCUGGUUGCUGUAUGUACUUUCCAACAUUUGUUAUUUUCUAGUGGGUGAGUAAUGCUAUCACUUUAUGCUUUCAAUUUGCAUUUCCUUGAUGACAAAGUUGAGCACCUUUUUAUAUGUGUGUCGGUUAUUUGUUUUCUUUUUUAAAGUGAUCUCUACUCCCAUCACGGGGCUUGAACUCACAACCCCAAGACCAAGGGUCACAUGCUCCACCAACUGAGUCAGCCAGGCGCCCCAUAUGUGUAUUGGUUAUUUAGAGAGCUUCUUUUGUGAAAUGUGCCUAUUCAGGGUUUUUGCCCAAUUUUCUGUUGGUUGUUUAUCUUUUUCUAGAUGUUCUAUAUAUAUACUGGAUAAUCUCUUCAUUUUCUUAUGUACAAUGUGAUUUUUAAGUGUUUAGGUUUAUGGUAGGUAUGUUCUUCAUGUUUUCACGUACUCUGUUUAUGCAGAAUAUGCAUCAAUAUGCAUCUUAGAUCCCUGUAUAUUCAGGCCUGAAAAACUUCUAACAGCACUUAGGUGAAAAAAGUAACCUUAUUCCAAAGUUGAAAGUAUUGCAUGCAAUCAGCUACCAUAAAAUGCAUCAUUAUUAAUUUAAUGACAUUUUACAUUCAUGGUCUAUUUUUUUUAUUUUUAGCUUUUUCAUAUUGCUUGAUUCAUUGCUUAAAAUGAAUAUGAAGAUAAGAAAGACAACCCUCCCUCCUCAAAUGAUCCUUUUGGCGACAGUGCCCAGUAUCUUUUUGGAGAGCCGCCUUGAUCACAGUUGGUCUGCAUGUGUUGAGCCCACUAUCAGCUUCAGCAGAGGGCAGGUACCACUGACUCAGACCUGAUCAGAUAGGCACCACAUUCCUCAGGGCAUAGCCAUUGGUUCAAGAAUGACUGUGUGAUCCAUCCGUAUCAAUGACAUAUAAUGAGAUGUCAUAUAAUGACGGAAAGGAAGCCUCUUCCAUGCUGGACUUGACUUCAGGAGGAUGUGAAGUAGAGCUGCUGUGACCUUCUUACAACCUUGAGAAGACACUCUGUUGAAAACAGAGCCAGACCAGAAGAAGCAAAGCUAAGAGAUAGAGAGAAAUGGAAUUGAAAUAACAUUUUGAGCUCCUGGAUCAAGCCAUGACUGAAGCUAGUAGUAUCUGGACUUUUCAGUAACAUGAGCCAGUAAAUUCCUUGUCUGCUUAA